GUGCAUUCAGGAUUAGGACUGAUAUAUGUCGGUUUAAGCCUAAUCAAUUGUGUUUUAAUGUCUUUAGCAUUCAUAUAAUUGCAGUCUAUUUUUUUCGUAGGCUACUCUGCUGUUGUCCUUGAUGGGGAUAUAUUUUAACCCUUUUUAACACAAUUUUCCUGCGACAUUCCUGCGUCUCCCCCUCCUACAGAGCCCAUUUAAGCACCGUGUCAGUAGACAGUUACAAUCCUACGACGUCGUGAGUGCAGCGAAUGCGCGUUCACGUUAAGAGGAGUUUCGGGAAACGCUCCAAAGAAAUUAUCGAUGGAUCGCAAGAUCCAUCGGGAGAAUGAUCGUACGAGCGAAGAUCCAUCGUUAUCGGGAAACGGGGCCCAGAGCUCUUCUUUCGCGAAUCAGUUUCUCUCACUCCUAAUCUGGAGAUUGUCGCUUCUCCCUCCUCCCGGCAUUUGAUUUCUGCUGUUUGUUUGUAACACAUGGACUGAUGUUCACUUAAUAACAAUAUAGUAAUAACAUACUAACUAACUAAUAUACAUAUAUGAUUAAUAUAUUCCUCACCAUGACCUGACGUGUAGACACUGUGAAAAAGAAAUAGGAAAAAGGUGACCAAAACGUUUCACUAAAUUAAAGGCUAUGAGUGAGAAUAUAUUAAUCAUAUAUUUAUAUUAGUUAGUUAGUAUGUUAUUACUAUAUUGUUAUUAAGUGAACAUCAGUCCAUGUGUUACAAACAAACAGCAGAAAUCAAAUGCCGGGAGGAGGGAGAAGCCUGUCUGGGCAGGCUCUAUACACUGCGGUCCCGGUCCAACCAGCACCUGCCGAC
ensembl:lncRNA